AUACGGAGGGUGCAAGCGUUAAUCGGAAUUACUGGGCGUAAAGCGCGCGUAGGCGGUUUGGUAAGUCGGAUGUGAAAGCCCCGGGCUCAACCUGGGAAUUGCAUUCGAUACUGCCAGACUAGAGUAUGGUAGAGGGAAGUGGAAUUCCGGGUGUAGCGGUGAAAUGCGUAGAUAUCCGGAGGAACACCAGUGGCGAAGGCGACUUCCUGGACCAAUACUGACGCUGAGGUGCGAAAGCGUGGGGAGCAAACAGGAUUAGAUACCCUAGUAGUCC
rnacentral:rRNA from 1 species